rnacentral:rRNA from 1 species
CGCCCCUUGCAAAAUGAAUUGAUGAAUAAGGGGUCCUGCCUGCCCAGUGACUUAGUUAAACGGCCGCGGUAUCUUGACCGUGCAAAGGUAGCAUAAUCAUUUGCCUCUUAAAUAGAGGCUGGUAUGAAUGGCAAGACUGGGGUUAAGCUGUCUCUUUCUCAAUACUUGAAUUUUAUAUUUUUGUGAAGAAGCGGAAAUAUGUUCGUAGGACGAGAAGACCCUAUCGAGCUUUAGUGAAAUUAUUAGUAGUAUGUAAAUAUUAAAUAUCUAAUUAAAUAAUUAAAUUAUUUUUUACACUUAAUAUUUUGUAUUUGGCUAUGUAAUAAAGUAAUUUUGAUUGGGGCAAUCGCGGAGUAUAAAAAUCCUCCGCUUAAAGUAUUAAAAAAUUACCAUUUUUAAAUAAAUUGACCCGCUAUAUAGCGAGCAAAGGAACAAGUUACCGUAGGGAUAACAGCGUAAUUUUUUUGGAGAGUUCAUAUUGAUAAAAAAGUUUGCGACCUCGAUGUUGGAUCGAGAUUUCCUAGAGAUGCAGCAGUUUCUAAGGGUUGGUCUGUUCGACCAUUAAAAUCUU